UCGGAUAUGGUGUAAUGGUUAACAUUACCGCCUCUCAUAAUAUAACGCGGUAGCUCGGGGUUCGAUUCCCCGUAUCCGAA